GGGAUCAUAGCUCAGCUGGGAGAGCAUCUGCCUUACAAGCAGAGGGUCAUAGGUUCAAGUCCUAUUGGUCCCA
rnacentral:tRNA from 1 species